CAAGCUAAAAUGUUUGGGUGCUUGCCCAAUAAUCUUGAGAAGGUCUGGAACUGGAAGCUAAGGUGAAGCGAGCGGUUGAACUCUGGUAAGUGAAGUUUACAGAUAUUGGAGUGCUCUCAUCGGGUUUUCCUACUUUUUGUGUGUUGUUGGAAACAUAUAGAGAAGAAGGACCAGUAAAGAAGUUAGCAAAGGAGGCCAUGUAUUAUUGAUUAGUAC
rnacentral:lncRNA from 1 species